AGAGUUUGAUCAUGGCUCAGAACGAACGCUGGCGGCAGGCUUAACACAUGCAAGUCGAACGGAUGUAGCAAUACAUUAGUGGCGCACGGGUGAGUAAUACAUGGGAACGUGCCUUGGAGUACGGGAUAACAGCGGGAAACUGCUGCUAAUACCGUAUAUUCCCUUCGGGGGAAAGAUUUAUCGCUCCAAGAUCGGCCCAUGCCAGAUUAUGGUAGUUGGUGGGGUAAAAGCCUACCAAGCCUACGAUCUGUAGCUGGUCUGAGAGGACGACCAGCCACACUGGAACUGAGACACGGUCCAGACUCCUACGGGAGGCAGCAGUGGGGAAUAUUGGACAAUGGGGGAAACCCUGAUCCAGCCAUGCCGCGUGAGUGAUGAAGGCCUUAGGGUUGUAAAGCUCUUUUGUCAGGGAAGAUGAUGACGGUACCUGAAGAAUAAGCACCGGCUAACUUCGUGCCAGCAGCCGCGGCAAUACGAAGGGUGCUAGCGUUGUUCGGAAUCACUGGGCGUAAAGCGCGCGUAGGCGGCUUUUCAAGUCAGGGGUGAAAUCCCACGGCUCAACCGUGGAAUUGCCUUUGAAACUGUGAAGCUAGAGUGUCGGAGGGGAUAGCGGAAUUGCUAAUGUAGAGGUGAAAUUCGUAGAUAUUAGCAGGAACACCGGUGGCGAAGGCGGCUAUCUGGACGACAACUGACGCUGAGGCGCGAAAGCACGGGGAUCAAACAGGAUUAGAUACCCUAGUAGUCC
rnacentral:rRNA from 1 species